CGACCGGCGCACGGGUGAGUAACACGUAUCCAACCUGCCGUCUACUCUUGGACAGCCUUCUGAAGGAAGAUUAAUACAAGAUGGCAUCAUGAGUCCGCAUGUUCACAUGAUUAAAGGUAUUCCGGUAGACGAUGGGGAUGCGUUCCAUUAGAUAGUAGGCGGGGUAACGGCCCACCUAGUCUUCGAUGGAUAGGGGUUCUGAGAGGAAGGUCCCCCACAUUGGAACUGAGACACGGUCCAAACUCCUACGGGAGGCAGCAUG
rnacentral:rRNA from 1 species